GAUGAACGCUAGCGGCAGGCUUAACACAUGCAAGUCGAGGGGUAGAAGCAGCUUGCUGCUUUGAGACCGGCGCACGGGUGCGUAACGCGUAUGCAAUCUACCUUUUACAGAGGGAUAGCCCAGAGAAAUUUGGAUUAAUACCUCAUAGUAUGUGAGAAUCGCAUGGUUUUCAUAUUAAAGUUCCAACGGUAAAGAUGAGCAUGCGUCCCAUUAGCUAGAUGGUAAGGUAACGGCUUACCAUGGCGACGAUGGGUAGGGGUCCUGAGAGGGAGAUCCCCCACACUGGUACUGAGACACGGACCAGACUCGUGAUGCU
rnacentral:rRNA from 1 species